UAUCCAGAGAUGAGUUGGUAAAGCUAAUCUCCACGAAAUGGUUGACUAACUAUGAGAUACUCCAUAACAAUUCCCAUCCUAUACAAGCCAUAGAACCUUCAUUCCAUAGAAAAUCUAAUGGAACUAUUAAAACGGUGUUCAAACCUCCAAGAAGCUCUUCUAAGUCUUCAUCAGUAGUCUUCCACACUAUGAUGAUCUCUUUUAUCACAAAAAAAGAGAGACAAGAUUCUUGUGUAUGCAUUCAUGAAAAAUGGAAUACCUGUUUAUACUGAUAAAAUCAAUGGCCAUUUCAUUUAGGAUGUCCUUGGAUCGAGAAUGUGUGAUGAAGAUUGCAAUUGCAUCCAUGAAAUUGAAGAAUAUAAUGAAUGCCGCCACAAAAAGAUGAAUAGUGCCAAAAAAAUUCUCUUCAUGCAAAACCUAUAAAUCACGAAGAGAUUAUUCUCCAAAUUCUACCUCCUGGAUCGGCAUUAGCAAAGAAAGCCAAUGGCGUAAUCCUUUGCCAAUUUAUUAAAUGACUUUGGAAAUUUUGAGAAAAGAAAGAAAAAUGGAGAAUGAGCAGGAAAAUGCUCUACCUCCUGCACUUCCUUAGUUUCUCCUUGCAUGAUGUUCUCUCAAGAAGACUUUGAAGAAAAUUUUUCUCCUUUACGCUACAACAUUGAUCCCAUCCAGAAGUUGGCUUCUCGUCCUUUUGUCCAGUUAUCCACUAUUAAUCCGGAAGGCCAGUCAAAGCCUUUAUCCCAAGUAGAAGAAGUGCUGAAUUGGCAGACUUUAAAUGUCAAGGCCCAAAAUAAUUUCCUUAAGAAGAUUGAUUUAAAGAUUAACUUGGUGGUUAAUCAAACUCAAUUGAUAGAAACCAAGGUUGAUACUCUGUCAACCCAGAUUCAUCAAUUAUAUGCGAACCUUCAAUCCCAGAUCAGUCAGCUUGACAAAGAACUCAAAGCUAUGAUUCAUUAAAAAAGAUUCGGACAAGACUUCAUGCAAAAGGAGUUAGAAAUCAAAAGACUGAAAUCUCAGAUUGCUCAAGUAGAAAUAGACUUAUUCUACUACAAACAAACCCAUAUACCUAUUCAUAAUCUGUUUUCAUCUUACAAACUAUUUUCUUAUUAGCCUAAACCAUCCGUGUCUUUUGAAUCUUCUAUUUUUAAUACAUCUCUUAAACUGUUCCAGAAAACUUCUAUACCUAAACAUUCAUCUUUUCAUCCUUUUCAGUCACAAUCUUGACCAUCAAAAAAUAAUUCUUUUUCUGAAUCAAUAGAGGAAGAAAAGUCUUUUCCAAAAGACCAUAAAAAUAAAAAGCCUAUGUAUCCUCAAGACUUACCUCCUUAGAUGACCAUCUAAAUACCACAAUAUGAGACAGAAUAAUCUUCAAAGAAAGAAUAUUCUAAUUCUGACCAUGAAACAAAUCUGACAGACAUAACCAAUCUUUUCAAGUCCAUUUCCAC
rnacentral:misc_RNA from 1 species